UACGUAGGGGGCGAGCGUUGUCCGGAUUUAUUGGGCGUAAAGAGCUCGUAGGCGGCUUGGCAAGUCGGGUGUGAAACCUCCAGGCUCAACCUGGAGACGCCACUCGAUACUGCUAUGGCUAGAGUCCGGUAGGGGACCACGGAAUUCCUGGUGUAGCGGUGAAAUGCGCAGAUAUCAGGAGGAACACCGGUGGCGAAGGCGGUGGUCUGGGCCGGCACUGACGCUGAGGAGCGAAAGCGUGGGAGCGAACAGG
rnacentral:rRNA from 1 species